GGUGGCUUAGUGGUAGAGCUCUUGUCUUGCAUGUAUGAGGCCCUGGGUUCGAUUCCCCAGCACCA
rnacentral:tRNA from 1 species